rnacentral:lncRNA from 1 species
AGCCCACUGCAGCAGCCAUGCGUGUCCCUUCUCCCAGCAGGACACUGUGUGCAGCUCCUCAAACAAGAGCAUUAGACUAGCCAGCAUUUUCGGGGCUGGCCCGGACUCAUGCGGCGGUCCACAAGCAUCUGACAUGCGGGCCACCCCUCCCCACGCAGAGGUCAAGGGUCAACUGGGGAUUUCUCCCGAGAUGCCUCUUUCCCAAAACCCACUUCUCCGGUCUCCUGGCUGGCUCGCCAGUUGGUGGUUCCCAACCUCAGGAGCUUCCUGGGUGAACUCUGAAGCUGGACCCCAUACCUGGAGGGCAAGGAGAAACCGACAAGAGGGGCAGGCCACUCCAAAUUGGUAGGUGGCAGCUCUAAUAAGCAAAGAGACUUACAUAUGAGGCUUGUCCUGGACAGCCGCAAGCUGAGUAGCUCUCUGCACCUGCCCGCCAGAAUCUUCAAGUUUAUAUAGAAGCCGUCCCUGGGUUCAGUCCCGGCACACAGUCCAGAUGGUCUCAGCAACGCCUUACUCUCUCCAGGCUGUGUCCUUGGGGCAGCUUCCAGCUCAGGGAAGGUGCAGAAACAAGCAGGAUCAAGGCUGACCCACACAGACAGUGAAAUCCAAAGAAGCCACCACAAGCAGAAAAUUUCUUGUGACUUUUUCAAAUCAAUCUAAAUUUCACAUCCUA